GGCCGCCUGGCGUAAUGGCAACGCGUCUGACUUCGAUUUAAUAGUUGGAAUCAGAAGAUUGUAGGUUCGACCCCUGCGGCGGUCA
rfam:Sphaerobolus stellatus SS14 unplaced genomic scaffold SPHSTscaffold_1, whole genome shotgun sequence.